rnacentral:rRNA from 2 species
ACGGGGUGCAGCAGGCGCGAAACCUUUGCAAUGUGCGAAAGCACGACAAGGUUAAUCCGAGUGUCUCCUGCUAAAGGAGUCUUUUGUCAGUUGUAGAAUCACUGAUGAAUAAGGGGUGGGCAAGUUCUGGUGUCAGCCGCCGCGGUAAAACCAGCACCUCGAGUGGUCAGGAGGUUUAUUGGGCCUAAAGCAUCCGUAGCCGGUUGCAUAAGUUUUCGGUUAAAUCUAUGCGCUCAACGUAUAGGCCGCCGAAAAUACUGUGCAGCUAGGGAGUGGGAGAGGUACACUGUACUCAAUAGGAAGGGGUAAAAUCCUUUGAUCUAUUGAUGACCACCUGUGGCGAAGGCGGUGUACCAGAACACGUUCGACGGUGAGGGAUGAAAGCUGGGGGAGCAAACCGGAUUAGAUACCCGGGUAGUCCCAGCUGUAAACGAUGCAGACUCGGUGAUGCAUUGGCUUGUUGCCAAUGCAGUGCCGCAGGGAAGCCGUUAAGUCUGCCGCCUGGGAAGUACGUACGCAAGUAUGAAACUUAAAGGAAUUGGCGGGGGAGCAC